AGCGAAACUACAGAUGAAAAAUGUAAGGAGAGUAUCCAUUUACAUCCUCAAGAAGACAGCGGUGUAAGUCCUCAAACUGUGCAAACAAAUCAGGAGAACAGCAGUGUCCUUCCUUGACAAAGUAUAUAAAGCUGGAGAACACCUCGAAUUAAAAUGUUGGUCGGGAAGGAAGCGAUUCAUUUCAACAGAAUAAGAUGUGAAACGCAUAAAAUCCCAACUGGAAGUGACCUCACAGAGAUGCAAGCAUGUGCACUUGAAGAU